GACGAACGCUGGCGGCGUGCUUAACACAUGCAAGUCGAACGCUGAAGCUUGGUGCUUGCACUGGGUGGAUGAGUGGCGAACGGGUGAGUAAUACGUGAGUAACCUGCCCUUGACUCUGGGAUAAGCCUGGGAAACUGGGUCUAAUACUGGAUACGACAUGCCACUGCAUGGUGGUGUGUGGAAAGGGUUUUACUGGUUUUGGAUGGGCUCACGGCCUAUCAGCUUGUUGGUGGGGUAAUGGCCUACCAAGGCGACGACGGGUAGCCGGCCUGAGAGGGUGACCGGCCACACUGGGACUGAGACACGGCCCAGACUCCUACGGGAGGCAGCAGUGGGGAAUUUUGCACAAUGGGCGGAAGCCUGAUGCAGCGACGCCGCGUGAGGGAUGACGGCCUUCGGGUUGUAAACCUCUUUCAGCACGGAAGAAGCGAGAGUGACGGUACGUGCAGAAGAAGCGCCGGCUAACUACGUG
rnacentral:rRNA from 1 species